GGAAGUAUUGUAUUCUCGUGUGUUUCAACUCUGUUCCUUGAGUGACGUUCCAUCCUUUUUAUAGGAGGAUGAGAAGACCGUUGAAUGAUGUUAAACUUAGAAUCCUGGGCAAUGAUGGAUGAUUAAUGUCAUUAAUCUCUGUGUUCUCUCUAAAGCAAUAUUUUGGGCGUCAUAAAAUCCUUCAUAAAUUAGCUUCUUUCCAUAAGCGAAUUUCUUCAAGGUUAAACUUUCUGAAUCAGAGGGUCCGAAAGUCAGAACCUUCAUGCAACUCCAAAAGAUGCUUGUUGCUAACUGCCUUCAGAGUUUCUCUUCACUUGAUUUCAUCAGAGCGUACGUCUUCAGAUUCUGGAGUCAUUCUUCCACUUCAGAGUGUCCGAGUCUUUUGUUUAGCUUGCGCCUGUGUUGAUCAGAGUCAGAGCUUUUGCUUGCAUAUCUUCUAAUUGAAGCUACGCGACGUCUUCUAUCUCUUCUUCGGCGACGUCUUCGACCUCUUCAGCGAUGUCUGAGCAAGAAGGAGUGAGCGAAGAAUGUUCUGUGAUUCUAAAUUCCGCCGAGUCUUUGAUCCUCGCCAAUUUCGGAUGCGUGAUUUGGAGUUCGGACGCGGUAGCUUCAGUGGCCGGUGGUUGAAGAUGGGAGGUUGAAGAUUGAAGAAAGUGAGGAAGAUGAAGGGUGAAGCAAAGUGGUUUAAGGUUCUGCAGAAAAAAUGGAGGUUGAAGUUUGGAAUGAAAAAUGGAAGAAACAGUUAUCCCCUUUUUUCCUAUGCCCAGUGAAGUUUGGAGUUUUGUGCAAGGAGUCGUAUUGGCUACGUGUUCACGGCCUUGGCCUAGGCUUGACAGGUUUGUAGUAUUCGUUGCAUGUUGUAGUCGUUUGGAAACGAUAUGCUGAUCCAAUGGUCUGUGUUUGAAUCCGUAUUGCAUUGUGUAUAUGGGAAGGUAAGCAAGGCUUUAUCCUACCGGUUUACCAUGGCUAGAUCCUUGACUACCGUUAGUCAUAAGCUUAGCCGUUGUAACCAUUCAACGUCCAGAAACAUCAUAAGGGCCUCACAAAGUCUCAGCUGCUCCAACAUAUUUCAGUAGUUUAUUCGAGUGAACCGACAUGGUCCGUUUAGAAAAAUGCCGGAACUAAGUAAAGUUGGAAGCUGUCGUUGAUUCUGGGUGUUGCAGGGUCGUGCAAGGCUAUUCCCUGUGAAGUUUGGUUAAUGUUGAUUAUGAUUACAAGUAUUGAUGUUAUAAAUUCAUGAAUAAAUUGUUAGAGAGAUUGGAUUUUUGUUAAUAGUUGGUUAGGAGUUAGUUAUGUACACAUGCAGUAGGGGUUGCUUUGGGUUGAUUUUAUGUGAAAAUAAUUAUUAUUGUAUUGGUUUGAAAGGUUUGAAAUGGGACUCUGUCAUGACAUUUGAUGAAUUUUCUGUUAGAAAAUACAAUAAUUAGUUUGUGAUUGUGUUAGGUUAGCUAGAGAUGUAAUCAUUAAUUAACAAUUGGAAUGAAAAUGAAGUUUUUUAGUGAA